GGCCUUGUAGUUCUAAUGGUAAAACGCUGCACUUGUAAUGCAGUUUUCUCGGUUCGACUCCGAGUGAGGCCU
rnacentral:tRNA from 1 species